rnacentral:rRNA from 1 species
UACGGGGGGGGCAAGCGUUGUUCGGAAUUACUGGGCGUAAAGGGCGCGUAGGCGGCGUGGUAAGUCACUUGUGAAAUCUCUGAGCUUAACUCAGAACGGCCAAGUGAUACUGCUGUGCUAGAGUGCAGAAGGGGCAAUCGGAAUUCUUGGUGUAGCGGUGAAAUGCGUAGAUAUCAAGAGGAACACCUGAGGUGAAGACGGGUUGCUGGGCUGACACUGACGCUGAUGCGCGAAAGCCAGGGGAGCAAACGGG